UACUGAGCGCGAGUAGUCCACUGUUUAACAAUAUUUUUAUGGAUAAUCCCACUAAAUAUCCGAAUCAACCAAGGAAGAAGUCGAAAUAAUCGAAAAAUCCUUCGCUAAUCCAUCUCGAAGUCGAUGAUGAGAUCGUAAGGGGGAAAAUGAAGGUGAAAAUUUCGAUCGAUUAUCCGAAGAUUCUACAAUUCGGGAUUUAUCUCUCUUCAAUAUUCGCCUGCAAGUUCCGAUAUUGUUUCUAUAGAACUUCCAGCGACGUCCAGUUAAACCUGUUUGGACCAAAACGUUUCCAACGAUCCUCAUGAAGAACCUUCAAUGUCGGAGCCAUCGGCAACCUGUACUUCCCGUUACGAUUCGAAUUUAUCUGAAUCAAAUAAUUCUAAAGGUGAGUUAUUUAUUUUUUAUACGUUUAUUUCUAUACCGAAUUUACAGGUGUAAUUCAGAAUUUAUUCUGUGAAUGGUUAAUGGUAAUUUGUUUAAUUUAUUCUGUAAACUUGGGUAACGUAUGACGAAUAAUCUUGUAUAUGUAUAUAGCGGAAUCCAAUUAAUUAUUAUUAAAUUAAAUCUUUAGAAAUUAGUAAUAUAAUAAAAGUACUGUUAAUGUGUUUGCUUGUAUAUAUAAUUUGUAUAUAUAUAUCGAAAUAUUUAUAUGUAAGAAUUGUUACGAGUCUUUGUAUGUCGUGAUUUAUUUGUAUGUAAUUGAAAAUCUUGGUUUGUAUUUUUAUAAUUUUUUUUUGUUUUAAUAAAAAAAUAUUUUUAAAAAUUACGAUUUCCAUUCAUUUCUUUACCGUUAAAUCCUUUAUAAACUUAUAAAUACGUGUACGCGAUUAGAU